UAAUACGGAGGGUGCAAGCGUUAAUCGGAAUUACUGGGCGUAAAGCGCACGCAGGCGGUCGGGUGAGUCGGAUGUGAAAGCCCUGGGCUUAACCUGGGAACUGCAUUCGAUACUGCCCGGCUAGAGUAUGGGAGAGGGAAGCGGAAUUUCCGGUGUAGCGGUGAAAUGCGUAGAUAUCGGAAGGAACAUCAAUGGCGAAGGCAGCUUCCUGGCCCAAUACUGACGCUCAGGUGCGAAAGCGUGGGGAUCAAACAGG
rnacentral:rRNA from 1 species